GUUUUUUUGGUCUUACGCCCUAGGGUGGGGAGAGGACUCCGGUGCCUCCGGGUCUGGGCUGGGCCGCAAAGGGCGGGGCCUGGGCCCGGCGCGGGCCGGGAGCAGAGGCCGAGACCCUGCAGGUGAUUCCUGGGGCUGCCAGCUAAGGUCCCUUAUGAUUUCUGCUCUGGCUUUGCAGUUUUCAGCCUUUCCCAAGAGCAGCAGAAAAUGAACAAGUUCCAGAAGAAUCCAUUGCCAAAUUCAAGGGACCCGUGACAUUAAAGGAUGUUAUUGUGGAAUUCACCAAGGAGGAAUGGAAGUUACUGACCCCUGCUCAGAGGACUCUGUAUAAAGAUGUGAUGCUGGAAAACUAUAGUCACCUGGUCUCAGUGGGUUACCAUGUGAAUAAGCCAAAUGCAGUCUUCAAGUUGAAGCAAGGAAAAGAGCCAUGGAUAUUAGAAGUAGAAUUUCCACAUCGGGGCUUCCCUGAAGACCUAUGGAGCAUUCAUGAUCUAGAAGCAAGAUACCAGGAAAGCCAAGCUGGAAAUUCAAGGAAUGGAGAACUCACAAAACAUCAGAAAACUCGUACCACAGAGAAAGCCUGUGAAUGUAAGGAAUGUGGGAAGUUCUUCUGCCAGAAGUCUGCCCUCAUAGUACAUCAGCAUACUCACUCAAAGGGCAAAUCCUAUGACUGUGAUAAAUGUGGGAAAUCUUUCUCUAAAAAUGAAGACCUCAUAAGACAUCAGAAAAUUCACACGAGAGAUAAAACCUAUGAGUGUAAAGAAUGUAAGAAAAUAUUUUACCACCUAUCAUCUCUCAGUAGACAUCUGAGAACCCAUGCAGGAGAGAAACCCUAUGAAUGUAAUCAGUGUGAAAAAUCCUUCUACCAGAAACCACAUCUCAUAGAACAUCAGAAAACACACACAGGGGAGAAACCUUUCGAAUGUACUGAAUGUGGGAAGUUCUUCUAUGUGAAGGCAUACCUCAUGGUACAUCAGAAAACACACACAGGGGAGAAACCCUAUGAGUGUAAGGAGUGUGGGAAAGCCUUUUCCCAGAAGUCACACCUCACAGUACAUCAGAGAAUGCACACAGGGGAGAAACCCUAUAAAUGUAAGGAAUGUGGGAAAUUCUUCUCUAGGAAUUCACACCUCAAAACUCAUCAGAGAACUCACACAGGAGAGAAACCCUAUGAAUGUAAGGAAUGUAGGAAAUGCUUCUACCAGAAGUCAGCCCUCACAGUACAUCAGCGAACUCACACAGGGGAGAAACCCUUUGAAUGUAAUAAAUGUGGGAAAACAUUUUACUAUAAAUCAGACCUCACUAAACAUCAGAGAAAACACACAGGGGAGAAGCCCUAUGAAUGCAUAGAAUGUGGCAAAUCUUUUGCUGUGAAUUCAGUCCUCAGAUUACAUCAAAGGACUCACACAGGAGAGAAGCCCUAUGCAUGCAAGGAAUGUGGGAAGUCCUUUUCUCAGAAGUCACAUUUUAUUAUACAUCAGAGAAAACACACAGGGGAGAAGCCCUAUGAGUGUCAGGAGUGUGGGGAAACCUUUAUCCAGAAGUCACAACUCACUGCACAUCAGAAGACACACACAAAGAAGAGGAAGGCUGAGAAGUAAGAUGAGUUGGGAAAUUCUCUUGACUGAAUCCUUCAAAACAAUCAGAUAAUUCACACAAGAGGUACACCUUAUGAAUCGCAUCAAUAGAGGGAAAUUUUCAGCUACAAUCUUUGCUCUCUCUGUGUAUCAGCAAAUACAUAGAUUCUGUACAUUUAUUUGGGAGAAAAUUUUAUCAUAUUUUAGGCUUUUCUAAAUAUUAGAUAAUAUAGAUGGCAGAAGUCAUGCAAAUUGUAAAACAGGAAGGAAACCUUUCAGAAGUCAUACUUUUGUUUUGCAACAUAGAAGUCACACAGGAGAAAAAUCCUGUAAGUAAAACGAAUGUCAAGACAUUUUCUGUCAGGGCAGCCAGCUGUAGACAUCCAAAAGCUCACAAAUGAGAAGCACCUUGAGUAUCUAGAAAUCUCUUUACACAAUUGGAGCUCAUGUACUAGAGAAUUCAAAGGGAUAACUGCAAAGACACUGGUAUAUAGAAGCCUUUAUUAAGAAUUGAUGUUUCAUUCAAUUUCAGAUCACUGGUACUUGGAUAGAUAUUUUAAAUAUUUGGAAGGUGUUCAAUAAAAAUUCAAAUAAUUUGUACUGAGGGAAACAGUUAUACUACAAAUCAUGUUGCAGAUCUGAUGCCAAGAUUGCUCUGUUUUAAAAGGAAACCUGCAAAUGUCUGCAUAUAUGAAGCUUUUAAAAAGCACAAGUUAUCAGGCAACAUCAUUAAACAUACAUUAAAUGUCUGUUAGCAUAUAGGAUUUUGUGUGUAUGUGAGUGUGCUAUAACAUGUAACUUGCGGAUGUUCAGCGUGCAUGUGGAAUCCAUCCAUAAUGGUACAUAGCGAAAUAAUAUAAUCUUAGUUCAGUAACUAUUAUGUGUAUGAAGAUGUUGCACAUUAAGUCUCAGUAGUGACUCUGGUUGUUAAUAUUUGUAUUGUAAGUGUAAUAUUCCUUUUAAAUUAUAAGGCAUCUUUUUAUCCUUUUUUUGUGUUUGUAAAUGGAUAUAGACAGUGGUAAUAACUAAUCCUUCAAAAAUAAGUUAAAAUGUUUUUGUAAAAUUUUCAAAUGUCAGCCAAGUUUUGCAUUAGGGACACAUUUAUAUAUAGCAAAAGCCUGAGCUGUUUUUAAACAGCUAAAAACAGUAGUAUUUAUUACAGUCUCCACAAUGAAAACAAAUAGUGCAAUGUAAGAAAUAUUAUGUAUCUUACUGUUGAUGUGUGAGCAGGGAGCAGAGCUAUCUGCAUUUGUAUUUUGUGUGAGAGUCCUAAAUGUUCUUCACCAACUUUUUCUUCCUCAUAGAAGCAACAUGACAUAGUUAAGGGUGUGGACUCUGGGCUCCUGCUGCCUGGGCCCCGAUUCCAGCAUGGGGCAUGCUACUUAAUAUCUCUGUGCCUCAGUUCCCAUCCCAUAAAAGAGUAGUGAUAGUGACAACAUCUUAGGAUUGCUUUGAGGUCUAAAUGAGUUAACAUUUUCAAAGCACUUAGAAUAGUGUCUGAGACACAAGAGCUAUAUGUUAGAGGUUAUCAUCAUUAUUUGUAUUUUGUGAAUUACGCUGCAAAAAAAAAAAAAGA
rnacentral:sRNA from 1 species